rnacentral:rRNA from 1 species
GUGGGGAAUUUUGGACAAUGGGGGCAACCCUGAUCCAGCAAUGCCGCGUGCAGGAAGAAGGCCUUCGGGUUGUAAACUGCUUUUGUACGGAACGAAACGGUCCUGGUUAAUACCUGGGGCUAAUGACGGUACCGUAAGAAUAAGCACCGGCUAACUACGUGCCAGCAGCCGCGGUAAUACGUAGGGUGCAAGCGUUAAUCGGAAUUACUGGGCGUAAAGCGUGCGCAGGCGGUUUUGUAAGACAGGCGUGAAAUCCCCGGGCUCAACCUGGGAAUGGCGCUUGUGACUGCAAGGCUGGAGUGCGGCAGAGGGGGAUGGAAUUCCGCGUGUAGCAGUGAAAUGCGUAGAUAUGCGGAGGAACACCGAUGGCGAAGGCAAUCCCCUGGGCCUGCACUGACGCUCAUGCACGAAAGCGUGGGGAGCAAACAGGAUUAGAAACCCCAGUAGUCC